rnacentral:rRNA from 1 species
GACGAACGCUGGCGGCGUGCCUAAUACAUGCAAGUAGAACGAUGAAGGAGGAGCUUGCUUCUCUGGAUGAGUUGCGCACGGGUGAGUAACGCGUAGGGAACCUGCCUCGUAGCGGGGGGGAACUAUUGGAAACGAUAGCUAAUACCGCAUAAGAGUAUAUGUUGCAUGACAUUUGCUUAAAAGGUGCAAUUGCAUCACUACCAGAUGGACCUGCGUUGUAUUAGCUAGUUGGUGAGGUAACGGCUCACCAAGGCAACGAUACAUAGCCGACCUGGGAGGGGGAUCGGGCCAACUGGGACUGGGACACGGCCCAGGCUCCUUCGGGAGGCAGCAGUUGGGAAUCUUUCGCCAUGGACCGAAGUCUGAACGGGCAACGCCGCGGGGGUGGAUGAGGUUCUCGGAUCCUUAAGACCUUUUGUAAGGGAAGGACGAGUGUGGUAGGUAAAAGUGCACACUGUGACGGUAUCUAAUCAGAAAGCGACGGCUAACUACGUG